rnacentral:rRNA from 1 species
AUUGAACGCUAGCGGGAUGCCUUACACAUGCAAGUCGAACGGAGUGGCGAACGGGUGAGUAAUGUAUCGGAACGUGCCCAGUAGCGGGGGAUAACUACGCGAAAGCGUAGCUAAUACCGCAUACUAUCGGAGCGGCCGAUAGAGGAUUAGCUAGGGGGGGGGGUAAGGGCUCACCAAGGCGGAGAGCCGUAGCUGGUUUGAGUGGACGACCAGCCACACUGGGACUGAGACACGGCCCAGACGCCUACGGGAGGCAGCAGUGGGGAAUUUUUGACAAUGGGGGAAACCCUGAUCCAGCCAUCCCGCGUGUGCUAUGAAGGCCUGCGGGUUGUAAAGCACUUUUGGCAGGAAAGCGGUACCUGCAGAAUAAGCACCGGCUAACUACGUGCCAGCAGCCGCGGUAAUUC